UUGGAGGGCAAGUCUGGUGCCAGCAGCCGCGGUAAUUCCAGCUCCAAUAGCGUAUAUUAAAGUUGUUGCAGUUAAAAAGCUCGUAGUUGAAUUUCGGGGUCAGCAAGUUGGUCGCGCCACUGGUAUGCACUGGCUUUGCUGAUUCCUCCUUCUUGUAGAACCGUAAUGCCAUUAAGUUGGUGUUGCGGGGAAACAGGACUGUUACUUUGAAAAAUUAGAGUGUUUAAAGCAGGCUAACGCUUGAAUACAUUAGCAUGGAAUAAUGAAAUAGGACGACGAUCCUAUUUUGUUGGUUUCUAGGAUUGACGUAAUGAUUAAUAGGGAUAGUUGGGGGCAUUAGUAUUCAAUUGUCAGAGGUGAAAUUCUUGGAUUUAUUGAAGACUAACUACUGCGAAAGCAUUUGCCAAGGAUGUUUUCAUUAAUCAAGAACGAAAGUUGGGGGAUCGAAGACGAUCAGAUACCGUCGUAGUCUUAACCAUAAACUAUGCCGACUAGGGAUCGGAUGAUGUUAAUUUUAUAAUGACUCAUUCGGCGCCUUACGGGAAAC
rnacentral:rRNA from 1 species